rnacentral:rRNA from 1 species
CAGUAGCCACGGUAAUACGAAGGGUGCAAGCGUUACUCGGAAUUACUGGGCGUAAAGCGUGCGUAGGUGGUGGUUUAAGUCCGUUGUGAAAGCCCUGGGCUCAACCUGGGAAUUGCAGUGGAUACUGGAUCACUAGAGUGUGGUAGAGGAUAGUGGAAUUUCCGGUGUAGCAGUGAAAUGCGUAGAGAUCGGAAGGAACAUCUGUGGCGAAGGUGACUAUCUGGGCCAACACUGACACUGAGGCACGAAAGCGUGGGGAGCAAACAGGAUUAGAUACCCGCGUAGUCCCUGUCUCUUAUCC